AUGAACGCUAGCUACAGGCUUAACACAUGCAAGUCGAGGGGCAGCAUGGUCUUAGCUUGCUAAGGCCGAUGGCGACCGGCGCACGGGUGAGUAACACGUAUCCAACCUGCCGUCUACUCUUGGACAGCCUUCUGAAAGGAAGAUUAAUACAAGAUGGCAUCAUGAGUCCACAUGUUCACAUGAUUAAAGGUAUUCCGGUAGACGAUGGGGAUGCGUUCCAUUAGAUAGUAGGCGGGGUAACGGCCCACCUAGUCUUCGAUGGGUAGGGGUUCUGAGAGGAAGGUCCCCCACAUUGGAACUGAGACACGGUCCAAACUCCUACGGGAGGCAGCAGUGAGGAAUAUUGGUCAAUGGGCGAGAGCCUGAACCAGCCAAGUAGCGUGAAGGAUGACUGCCCUAUGGGUUGUAAACUUCUUUUAUAAAGGAAUAAAGUCGGGUAUGGAUACCCGUUUGCAUGUACUUUAUGAAUAAGGAUCGGCUAACUCCGUGCCAGCAGCCGCGGUAAUACGGAGGAUCCGAGCGUUAUCCGGAUUUAUUGGGUUUAAAGGGAGCGUAGAUGGAUGUUUAAGUCAGUUGUGAAAGUUUGCGGCUCAACCGUAAAAUUGCAGUUGAUACUGGAUAUCUUGAGUGCAGUUGAGGCAGGCGGAAUUCGUGGUGUAGCGGUGAAAUGCUUAGAUAUCACGAAGAACUCCGAUUGCGAAGGCAGCCUGCUAAGCUGCAACUGACAUUGAGGCUCGAAAGUGUGGGUAUCAAACAGGAUUAGAUACCCUGGUAGUCCACACGGUAAACGAUGAAUACUCGCUGUUUGCGAUAUACUGCAAGCGGCCAAGCGAAAGCGUUAAGUAUUCCACCUGGGGAGUACGCCGGCAACGGUGAAACUCAAAGGAAUUGACGGGGGCCCGCACAAGCGGAGGAACAUGUGGUUUAAUUCGAUGAUACGCGAGGAACCUUACCCGGGCUUAAAUUGCAGAUGAAUUACGGUGAAAGCCGUAAGCCGCAAGGCAUCUGUGAAGGUGCUGCAUGGUUGUCGUCAGCUCGUGCCGUGAGGUGUUGGGUUAAGUCCCGCAACGAGCGCAACCCCCAUCACUAGUUGCCAUCAGGUAACGCUGGGAACUCUAGUGAAACUGCCGUCGUAAGAUGUGAGGAAGGUGGGGAUGACGUCAAAUCAGCACGGCCCUUACGUCCGGGGCUACACACGUGUUACAAUGGGGGGUACAGAGGGCCGCUACCACGCGAGUGGAUGCCAAUCCCCAAAACCUCUCUCAGUUCGGACUGGAGUCUGCAACCCGACUCCACGAAGCUGGAUUCGCUAGUAAUCGCGCAUCAGCCACGGCGCGGUGAAUACGUUCCCGGGCCUUGUACACACCGCCCGUCAAGCCAUGGGAGCCGGGGGUACCUGAAGUGCGUAACCGCGAGGAGCGCCCUAGGGUAAAACUGGUGACUGGGGCU
rnacentral:rRNA from 1 species